GACAGAGGGGGCAAGCGUUGCUCGGAAUCACUGGGCGUAAAGGGCGCGUAGGCGGGAUGGCAAGUCGGUCGUGAAAUCCUUCGGCUCAACCGAAGAACGUCGGCCGAUACUGCCGUUCUUGAGGGAUGCAGAGGAGAUUGGAAUUCCCGGUGUAGCGGUGAAAUGUGUAGAGAUCGGGAGGAACACCGGUGGCGGAGGCGGGUCUCUGGGCAUCUCCUGACGCUGAGGCGCGAAAGCGUGGGGAGCAAACGGG
rnacentral:rRNA from 1 species